UCACUGACUCAUGAAGAUCUGCUGUUGUAUUUCAUAAUAUUUUUCUAACAAUGCUUUAACAGUUUCUUUAUUAUAUUAGUAUAUUCAUUAGACAGUAUGAAAGCUGGUUCCUCAGUAUCGUAUGAGUCGUGAAAAAAAUGAGAAAAAAAGUAGAAAUGGACUCGAAGAAUAUAUUAUGCAGUGUGCUGCUAAGUAAAAGCAAAGUAUCAGCGAGCUGGAAUAAUUGCAUGCAUUGUGAACAUUAAUGGAGUCUUAAGCGACAAGAAGAUUUGAGAUUAAGCAAGGAAUAAUCAAGGAUCUGUCUCAUGUAACCCGUCAUAUCUCAUCCCUCUCUCCACCUUGCGUCUCUUCUCGCCGGAAGUCCGUCCUCCCUGAAGCCACCGCACUGCCUCUAGUCGUCAUGCUCUGCCUCCCGACUCUUGGCUGUUAUUUUACCCAGCUCUAAGCUAGUCCAUAUCAUUAGUGUACUGACAUCUGCGGUAAAACUUUUAAAUUUAGAUGUUUAAAUAGUCAUAUCAGUAGAAUGUCAAGCAACAGUUAUAUUCUAAAAUGAAGAAAGCCAUGUUAGGGAAAUC